CCCCCGGCGGCCAGUGCGUGUGCGUGUGCGUGCGCGCGCGCCCGGCCGGAAGUGCGCUCGCGUGGAGUUGUGGGCGCGUGGUGGGUUUGCCGGUUGGGAUCGUGGGCAUGGAACCACCACCUGGAGAGCUGAGGCAGGACGAUCAGAGCCCUACGGAUUCUCAGUGGUGCCACAUCGGAGGUAGAGCCUCAGUACUGGGUGUGGGAUCUGGGCCGAAGCAAGGAGCCCUCGUUUCUCAGCCACACUCGCAGGAGGUUAGCCUCAGCAUUAGGUUGAUGGGGACAAGAUGAAACUGGCUAUGUCCUGCCCCAGGUCUCCUAUUCCUCCAAGCACAACAGUUUGGAAAUGAGGCCAAUUAAUAACCCUACAGUGGCCUCUAAGUGUUCAAGUAAGAGGAAGAGUUGCUGUCUCUCACUUGAACUCAAAAGCUAGAAAUGAUUAAGCUUAGUGAGGAAGGCAUCUCAAAAGCUGAGAACGAACAAAAGCUAGGCCUCUUGCACUGGCUAGCCAAGCCACGACUGCAAGGGAAAAGUUCUUGAGAGAAAUUAAAAGUGCUACUCCAGUGAACACACACGCUAAGAAAGUGAGACAGCCGAAUUGCUGAUACGGAGAGAAAUUGGUAGUGGUCUGGACAAAAUAUCAAAGCAGCCACAACCUUCCCUUAAGCCAAAGCCUCAUCCGGAGCAAGGCUUCAACUCUCUUCGAUUCUAGGAAGGCUGAGAGAGGUGAGGAAGCUGCAGAAGAGAAGUCUGCAGCCAGCAGAGGGAGGUCCAUGAGGUUUAAGGAAGGGAGUGGAGUCCAUAACCUCAGGGUGCAAGGAGGGAAGCAGCAGGUGCUGACGUGGAGCUGUAGCAAGGGACCCAGAGAUCUAGCAGGCAGGGCUGCGCUUCACAGCCUCAGAGGACGCGCUGACUCUCCUGUUAGGGGCUAAUGCAGCUGGUGACUGUAAGUGGAAGGCAGUGCCUGCUCACCAUCCUGAAAAUUCUACGGCCCUGGAGGAUUAUGCUCAACCACACUGCCUGUGCUGUAGAAAUGGGGCAACAAAGCCUAGAUGACAGUACAUCUGUGUACAAUCUGAUUGGUUGAAGAUUUGAAGCCUACCGUUGAGAACUGCUCUGCAGGAAGGAUUUAUUUCAUCAUGCUCCUUGACAGUGUACCUGGUCACCCAAGAGUUCUGAUGGAGGCAUAGCAAGAGAUUUUAACUUUUUUCUUGCCUGCUAGCUAACACAACAUCCCUUCUGCAGGCCAUGGAAAAAGGAGUAAUUCUGACUUUCAAGUUUUCUUAUUUAAGUAAUACAUGUUGGGGCGCCUGGGUGG